CAAAGAUAGUACUCCCAUUUAACAAAGAGCUGCAACCGAUUGGUCAGGCGGCAGGAUUAUUGAGUGGUUUCAUAGGGAGUUUGGGUGCGGAUUAUUCCCAGUUCCCCAUACACUUAGACAGUUGGAAGCAGCGGGUCUUUUACUAUGAGGACGAUGCCAGAGG